UCUACUUACUGAAAUAUAAUGUGUUGUGAAUGUUCCAUGCUCUGUCCUUGUGGAUGUCUCCUUCCUAUUUCUAGGUCUGUGGGAAUUCUGGGAAGGUGGUAGAGAAGCAUCAGGUGUUAUAGGAGAAAAGGCCUUCAAUUGUCUUAAGGCUACUGAGAAAAUGAAAGUGGAAAUCCCUUUUAAAUACUGAAUAUACUGAAAAGCACUUUUGUUAGUCUCAAAUUGUGCCUCCUAAAAUAUAGGAGGUAUGUCCUAAAAUAUAGUCAAAUGUUUGUCAUCUGUAAUCUUUGAGAUUAUUUCCUCUAGUACUUUAUUUGAUCA
rnacentral:lncRNA from 1 species